rnacentral:rRNA from 1 species
GAACUUAAGCAUAUCAAUAAGCGGAGGAAAAGAAACUAACAAGGAUUCCCCUAGUAACUGCGAGUGAAGCGGGAAAAGCUCAAAUUUAAAAUCUGGUGGUCCCGAGUUGGCUGCCCGAGUUGUAAUCUAGAGAAGUGCUUUCCGCGCUGGACCGUGUACAAGUCUCUUGGAACGGAGCGUCGUAGAGGGUGACAAUCCCGUCUUUGACACGGACUGCCAGGGCUUAUGUGAUGCGCUCUCGAAGAGUCGAGUUGUUUGGGAAUGCAGCUCAAAAUGGGUGGUAAAUUCCAUCUAAAGCUAAAUAUGGGCGAGAGACCGAUAGCGAACAAGUACCGUGAGGGAAAGAUGAAAAGUACUUUGAAAAGAGAGUGAAACAGUACGUGAAAUUGUUGAAAGGGAAGCGUUUGGCAUCAGCCCAUGACGUCCGCCGAUCAUUCAGGCUUCUGUCUGAUGCACUUGAUGGGCGUCGGGUCGACGUCGGCUUUGCCUACCGGAGAAAGGCCUUGGGGAUGUGGCACCCCUAGGGGUGCGUUAUAACCCUUGGCGUCAUGCGGUGUGGUGGGGCCGAGGUCCACGGUUUAUCCUAGGACGCUGGCUUAAUGGUUCCAAAGGGACCGGUCUUGAAACACGGACCAAGGAGUCUAACAUCUAUGCGAGUUUUUGGGUGUAAAGCCCGUCCGCGCAAUGAAAGUGAAUGCAGGCGGGAGCCUUUAGAGGGUGCACCGCCGACCGGUCCGGGGGUUUACCGAAGGAUCUGAGUAAGAGCAUAGCUGUUGGGACCCGAAA